rnacentral:misc_RNA from 1 species
UUUCCAAACCUUGCUAAAGUCCAAUCUGCAAAUUAUUAUAACAAAUCGUGUCAAUCCAACCUUUAAUAUAUUCAACAAGAACAGAGGCCACCAUGCUCAAGUUUCUAUUCUAGCAGCAUCUUUUGCCAGAUAUAUUGAAAUAUCAAGCCUAAAUUGUAUAGUACAACCACUGAAAAUAACAGAAAAAUGGCAACAUACUCUGCUAAGUUGAGUUUUUAAUGCAG